ensembl:ncRNA R02F11.6 ncRNA
AGAGUAGCACAAUAAUUCAGUUGUAAGCUCAGCCUCUUCAGAAAUGUGCGAUACGGGCUUAUGUUAGGCCUAGGUGUAGGUUUAGGCCUAGGCUUAGGCUUGGGCUUAGGCUCAGGCUUAGGUUCAG